GGGGCCGUAGCUCAGCCCGGGAGAGCACUCGGCUGAAGACCGGGGUGUCGCGAGUUCAAAUCUCGCCGGCCCCA
rnacentral:tRNA from 1 species